GAUGAACGCUGGCGGCGUGCCUAAUACAUGCAAGUCGAGCGAACAGACGAGGAGCUUGCUCCUCUGACGUUAGCGGCGGACGGGUGAGUAACACGUGGAUAACCUACCUAUAAGACUGGGAUAACUUCGGGAAACCGGAGCUAAUACCGGAUAACAUGUUGAACCGCAUGGUUCAACAGUGAAAGACGGUUUUGAUGUCACUUAUAGAUGGAUCCGCGUCGCAUUAGCUAGUUGGUAAGGUAACGGCUUACCAAGGCAACGAUGCGUAGCCGACCUGAGAGGGUGAUCGGCCACACUGGAGCUGAGACACGGUCCAGACUCCUACGGGAGGCAGCAGUAGGGAAUCUUCCGCAAUGGGCGAAAGCCUGACGGAGCAACGCCGCGUGAGUGAAGAAGGUCUUCGGAUCUGAAAACUCUGUUAUUAGGGAAGAACAAAUGUGUAAGUAACUAUGCACGGCUUGACGGUACCUGAUCAGAAAGCCACGGCUAACUACGUG
rnacentral:rRNA from 1 species